rnacentral:lncRNA from 1 species
CCCGCCGCCGCCUUUACACCCGCGACACCUCUCCCAGUAGUAGCAGCACCCGCACCCCCGGUGCCCUGCAUCCCUGCCGCCGCCGCCGCCCCCGCCCCGCCUGCGCCGCUCGGCAGGCUGAUGUGCAGCGACAGGUCCGGUGUCGUCGCCGACGCCAUGCCCCGCGGGCGCCGCCGGUGUGCUAGCUUAGCUCAACUAGCUCCCUCCUGGGAUCGAGCGCGAGAGGUCGCUCGCUUUGUGCUUUGCGAUGUGUGUGCGUGAUGCUUCUCUCUCUCUCCUUCCUUCCUCUUCCUCUUCCUCUCUCUCUCUUUCUUCUCUCUUUUGUGUGUACAAGCAUCUACCACCACAUCCACAAUCUUUCUUUCUUUCUUUCUCUCUCUAUUUCUUUCUUUUCUUUCUUUCUCUCAGUAGGAUACCAUGUACGCUUAAACUUUCUCUCACUAGUUUCUCUCUCAAGAAACCAAGAAAGGAGACAUUAGGGAUGGAUGGAUGAAUGAAUGGAAGGAAUGGAAUCGGUUUCAUGUGUUGUCUGGGUUAG